AAAAAAUGUCAAAUAUGUAGCUCGAACCCGGGUUAUUGAGAUAUAAGCACCCACAACUAUACCAUUGCACUAAAGGAUGCUUUGUACAUUGAUGGUCGAAACUAAUAUAUAUUAUAAAGGUCGAAAACUAAUAUAACAUUGUGGACCCCACCUCUUUUUGUUUUAAUUGAUAGGUAACGAAUGGACUUCGACAAAAAGUGGGCUUUAGGCUUAUUGAUUUUCUGUUUAUUAGACUUUGUAUCUGCCCAAAAUGGUGAUAUGGACAAAGCUAAGAAGAUUAGGGAAGCCGCCAUCUUUACCAUCUCCUUCGUCGCUUGCGAUUCUCCUUUCGUAAAUGAGCUAUUAUGGUCGAUCUUUAAGGCUCUACGCACGUUUUGCGCCUACCAAACGCUUAAUUUCUCCUCUAACGCCUUCAGAGCUCUCAUAUAUAUAGAAUCUCUCGAGGUAAAAGCUCCAUCUUGUCUCGAACUUUUCUUUCUCAGUUUUCCGAUCGCUUUACUUUCUCACAUCCGUCACGAAAAUGACUUAUCUAGCUGCUCCAGCCGCUUCAGCCGCCGUUCCCUACUCCACCUUCAACUCUAUCCGCCUUGGAAGGUCCACUCAGUCCAUUGUUGGUCGGCUCAUCCGAUUCUAGGAUUCCAGGAACAUUAACAAGAAUGGAGAGUUUAUGGGCAUCACCAUUCUCCUCUUUGAUGAACUGGUGAUGAUUGUUUCUAACUUAUUUUUUAUCACUUUAACUCUGCUUUGCUUACUCUUUGUUCAUAUAUGAAACGUGUCUUCAUCUUUUUGUUUUGGUUUUGUCUAUGGAUUUUUUUUAUGAACAACUAAUGAUUUUUCUCUGUUUUUCUUACAGGAUUCUGUGAUCUACGGUUUCAUCCCUGCAAUCUCCAAACAAAACAGGAAAACUGAAUGAAUUAUGUUUUUAGCAACCGAAUCUAAAAGAAAUAAAAGACAUCUUACUUAACAAAUUAAAACCUUUUCUUUUGCAGAUUCCGACGACGACGAAGCACCCGAGGACCAACGACAAUGGAAUGAUGCGGACGAAGCCUAACUGAUGGGGCAGAUCUCCUUAGAAGGGGAGCCACUCGCCACGAUGCUUCCAGUUUCACCAUUCUUGAAACUCUUAUGAGCCACAAAGCCAAUAUAAGAGCUCUGUUUCAAUCCAACGGCUGGAUUUUAUCACAGACCACCGCUAAGCCUGAAGAGGGAAGAGAAGUGGAGUGAUGCGUUUUGGAAGAUGGUUACUUGGA